rnacentral:rRNA from 1 species
UACAGAGGUCUCAAGCGUUGUUCGGAUUCAUUGGGCGUAAAGGGUGUGUAGGUGGCGCGCUAAGUCGGGGUGUGAAAUUUUCGGAGCUUAACUCCGAAACUGCAUUCGAUACUGGCGUGCUUUGAGGACUGGAGAGGAGACUGGAAUUCAUGGUGUAGCAGUGAAUGCGUAGAGAUCAUGAGGAAGACCAGUGGCGAAGGCGGUCUCUGGACAGUUCCUGACACUGAGACACGAAGGCCAGGAGCAACGG